rnacentral:piRNA from 1 species
AGUAUAUGUGAAGACGGCAAAGC